GGGCAUCCUUGUUGGAUUUGACUGGGCAGCCUAGGUUCUGGGCGCCCCCUCCUAGGCGCUGAGCGUCCUGGACCCCCCAAGCCGCCUAGGACCCACCUAGCGCUUUUUGAAACACUGGCCAGAUGAAAUAAUCUCCAGCUUUAAUGCCUAAUUUUAUCACAAUUUGAAAAAUUGUAUAUGCAAGGAAAAGUCAUUCAAAGGGAAGAUAAUGAUUCGAAUAGAAAGAAUUGAGAGAAAAAUAAUAAACAAUUAGCAGGGGGGGUAGGUUAAUUCACCUUUCUGGCUGCAACAGCCACAUGUGCAUUCAUAUACAUAUCGAUGUACAUAUACGCUAAUAACUGUAAAAACUGAGAAAAAGUGUCUAUAUGCGCUAUCAAUGCGUAAGGGUGCAUAUACGAGACAAUAUAAGUGUGUAUGUUUGUGACUGUGUUUGUGUUUAUGUUUGUGAGUGUGAGUGUGAGUAUAAGUGUGUGUGUAGUAUAUAAAUUAGUGUACAUAUAUGUUAAUACAUGUAUAAAUCGAAAAUAAGUGUUUAUAUAGUCAUUUACAUCAAUGUAUAUAGAUCAAUGUACAUAUACGUUAAUACAUGUAUAAAUUAAAAAUAAGUGUAUAUAUGGCCAUUUACAUCAAUGUAUAUAGAUCAG
rnacentral:lncRNA from 1 species